UUCAAUAAUGACAUCAACCUUACCUUUCAUUCUCGACUCGCUUUCGCGGCAUUUGAUGUUAUUCCCCUGUGAAGUCGAACACACCUCUUACCUCUGCGAAUUUCGCAAAUGUGGGAAUCUCGACAGCAUACAUUCUGCUGUCUGUCCGCAGCAUCUCCCUCCCAGACCACGGUGCUGGGUCGCCGGGAGGUUCUUGUAGACGGCACGGCUGUACGGAAUGAAGCACAGACCCAGCUGAAGGUGACGAGCGAGCCGGCAGUAUGCAGCCAAAGCCAGAACCAGGAGUGGAGUCAUCAGCAAGAAACCAACAACCAGUAAAGCUACACAACCACCAUCAGUCAGCAGAAGACAGAGAGUGCUCUCUUAAGGGGUCUGGACUGGGAACUGCAGACAAGAAAGUUCAGAGUAAGGGGAAGACGUAUCAUCAAAAAACCAGAUGUGUAAGAUCUUUCAAUUACAGGUCUUUUAUCAGACAAUGAUUGUUAUCUAAUAAUAGCUGGUUGGCCCUUAUUGUGUGACGGAAGCCGAUUGAUAUUUGAGUGUGUUGAUUGUGGAAGAACAUGGGCGAAAAGAUGAAAAAUGAGAUGACUUUUGUGUGCUAGUUACUGUUAUAUUAUCUGAUUUUAUCGCAUUCAAGGGUGAAUCUAAUGAGAAACAUGUCCCUUAUGUUGAGCAUAUAAAAACAAUUAACCGGACUUUUAACAUUUUUAUGAAAUAAGACAUUCCUCUAUUUGUUAUUAAAGUUCAUGAUUGUAAUUCUCAUUACUGAUAUAGUUUUUCAUUACUUUAUGACAAAAAUAGGAAUCAUCCUGUCAGAACAAAUAAUUAUAAUCAAGUUGAAAUACUACCGUCAUGUCUAAUUAUAUAGUUUAAAUGUAGGCACAUAUGUGACCCUGGACCACAAAGAGGUCAUAUGGGUCUUUUUUAUUGCAAUUUGUACAAUUUAGAGU